CCUACGGGUGGCAGCAGUCGAGAAUCAUUCACAAUGGGGGAAACCCUGAUGGUGCGACGCCGCGUGGAGGAAUGAAGGUCUUCGGAUUGUAAACCCCUGUCAUGUGGGAGCAAAUUAAAAAGCUAGUACCACAAGAGGAAGAGCCGGCUAACUCUGUGCCAGCAGCCGCGGUAAUACAGAGGUCUCAAGCGUUGUUCGGAAUCACUGGGCGUAAAGGGUGCGUAGGCUGUUGCGUAAGUCGUGAGUGAAAGGCGCGGGCUCAACCCGCGGACGGCACAGGAUACUGCGAGGCUAGAGGGAUGGAGGGGGAAGCGGAAUUCGUGGGGUAGCAGUGAAAUGCGUAGAUA
rnacentral:rRNA from 1 species